CGUCAGGACUUGGAAGUUAAUCUUUGGCUUGUAGGUGAGUGGGCGCUACGAACGAAUACCCGAACGAGAGAAGGUGACUCUGCUGUGGUCGGGUUUCUGCUGUGUACUGUGAGGCGAUUUUAGAGGUUUGCGCUUAAGAGUGGUAUUUGUUUGAAUUUUCCACGUGGUAAACACGCACCCAGACCGCCGUGUGGCUCAAGCGAUGGCUGCCGCCGUCGAGCUUAGAUAUGAGGAGGCCGCUGACUCACCUCGGACGCCGCGCACUCGCCCUGGGAGCUGGAUCUAGCAGCCGGAUAAACCAAAACGGCCGUGGGAGAACCCAUUUUCAGGCUAUGGGAGUCACCUAUGAGCCAUUACUAAUACGGCGAAUGCUUUCCAAAUACAGCGGAUGGAUGUUUAAAAAUAAUACAGGAGACUAUGGUCUGUAAUUGUGCCCAGGCGGAGUUGCGUGCAAUUCAAACUAAUGAAGAAUUUAAUACUGGGAACUUUGAAAUGGGACAUUUUUUUUUUAAAGACUUAUUUUAAAUAUCUCUCCUCCGCAGCCGCAAUGGCCUUACCUAUCGGUAUAUCGGAGCUGUUGUGUGGAUAUACUAAGAUGCAAAGAAAAGUUUCAAAACCAGUGGAAAAAUAUUUGGUGGGAAAUUACUUUGUUAAAACCUGACAAUUUUGAAAGUAUUCUUGCGGUUGAUUGAAGUCGAAUGAAACUAUGGAUGUUGCUAAAUACCAGUUUCAUUUGAAAUGAGUGAUCGCUAUCCAUUGACAGGCCAGCUGGUUGUGACGUUCCGAAGGGCCCAUACCAUGAGGUUAAAUUUGUGAAAAACUGGCAAUGAAAAUAAGAAAAAGAGCACUUGAUUUGACAGACGCGGAAGGAAAAUCUCUUUGUAAACGUGAAAUGUAUAUUAGUAUCUCAAUAAAAUUCAAGUCGUUUCUUUCACUACCCUAAAAUCCAGCUAUUAACAGUUUGCUUAAAUUAUAAAGGUAAAAACCUCACACAUGAAA